rnacentral:rRNA from 1 species
GUUGACCUCGGACCAGGUAGGAAUACCCGCUG